UGUGUGUAUGGGAAUGCGUAUAUAUAUCAGAAAAAAGAUGUCAAUUUAUUUUUAAGAAUUUGUUUUAGAUGUACAAUCAAACUGUAUGAUAAAAACUUUUUCUACUUUCCCGAGAGUAUGCGUGUAAACGAUGGAUAAGUGUUUAAAUUUAUGUAUGAAUAUUGUAUAUGAAGUAUUGUGUGUAAAAUACAGCCCACUUACAAUCAAACAAAUGAUAUCAAGGAGGAUUAUUACCAGAGACAAGAAUUAUGAAACAAGUUAAUACAAGAAACUGAGAUAGUCCUGAGAGACCGCAAAAAGAUAAAAGAGAGAAUGAAUCUUUUCGAAAUAUUUCUUAGGAAAGAUAGGAUUAUAGUAUAUACUUGUGUAAGGUUACCUUCUGUCGGUAAAAAGAAGAGCUAUUAAACAAUUGUUGGUGAUGUUUUCUAAUAAUUAUCCAUAUUUUAUUUAAACUUUAC